GUAUCAAUAAGCGGAGGAAAAGAAACUAACAAGGAUUCCCCUAGUAACGGCGAGUGAAGCGGGAAUAGCUCAAAUUUGAAAUCUCAUGGGUUCCACCUAUGCGAAUUGUAGUUUAGAGAAGUGUUUUCGGGGACGGCUUGGGUAUAAGUCCUUUGGAAAAAGGCAUCGUAGAGGGUGAGAAUCCCGUUAACGACCCAACGUUCGUUCCUAUGUGAUACACUUUCAAAGAGUCAGGUAGUUUGGGAAUGCUGCCUAAAAUGGGUGGUAAAUACCAUCUAAAGCUAAAUAUUGGCGAGAGACCGAUAGCGCACAAGUA
rnacentral:rRNA from 1 species